rnacentral:rRNA from 1 species
CCUACGGGCGGCAGCAGUGGGGAAUAUUGCACAAUGGGGGGAACCCUGAUGCAGCGACGCCGCGUGAGUGAAGAAGUAUCUCGGUAUGUAAAGCUCUAUCAGCAGGGAAGAAGAUGACGGUACCUGACUAAGAAGCCCCGGCUAACUACGUGCCAGCAGCCGCUGUAAUACGUAGGGGGCAAGCGUUAUCCGGAUUUACUGGGUGUAAAGGGAGCGUAGGCGGCAGGGCAAGUCUGGAGUGCAAGCACGGGGCCUAACCCCGGGACCGCUUUGGAAACUGGCGUGCUGGAGUGCUGGAGAGGUAGGCGGAAUUCCUGGUGUAGCGGUGAAAUGCGUAGAUAUUAGGAGGAACACCAGUGGCGAAGGCGGCUUACUGGACCGUAACUGACGUUGAGGCUCGAAAGCGUGGGGAGCAAACAGGAUUAGAUACCCCUGUAGUC